UACGGAGGGAGCUAGCGUUGUUCGGAAUUACUGGGCGUAAAGCGCACGUAGGCGGCUCAGCAAGUCAGGGGUGAAAUCCCGGGGCUCAACCCCGGAACUGCCCUUGAAACUGCUAGCUAGAAUCUUGGAGAGGCGAGUGGAAUUCCGAGUGUAGAGGUGAAAUUCGUAGAUAUUCGGAAGAACACCAGUGGCGAAGGCGACUCGCUGGACAAGUAUUGACGCUGAGGUGCGAAAGCGUGGGGAGCAAACAGG
rnacentral:rRNA from 1 species